rnacentral:rRNA from 1 species
UACAGAGGGUGCUAGCGUUAAUCGGAAUUACUGGGCGUAAAGGGUGUGUAGGUGGUUAUAUAAGUUAGAUGUGAAAUCCCCGGGCUCAACCUGGGAACUGCGUUUAAGACUGUGUAGCUAGAGUACUGUAGAGGAUAGUGGAAUUUCCAGUGUAGCGGUGAAAUGCGUAGAUAUUGGAAGGAACACCAGUGGCGAAGGCGACUAUCUGGACAGAUACUGACACUGAGACACGAAAGCGUGGGGAGCAAACAGG